rnacentral:lncRNA from 1 species
UGAUUUACAAACUUGAGGAAUCAGAAGGUGCGAAAAGAAGGUGACCCUCUUAACCCUGCCAUUGUCUGCGGGGGGCUGGAAUGUGCGGCGGCCGCCCCGGCCCCCGCACCUGUGCACACGGACGCCGUUUGAGGAUGGCCAGGGAAACCACAGCGUCGAGGCAGCUGCCCUAUGGGAAACUCGGUUGGAACUGGGCCUGGCCCCAGCGGAGCGUCACUCUGAGCGUGGAAGACAGAACCCAGCCGCCCCUGCACCGCGGCACCGCAGCCGCGCCGGCCUCCACGUCUUCUCUCUGGGCCUCGGUUUCCUCAGCCCUCCGCAGGGGAGCAGACCAGGCGCUCUCAGCGAGUAAGUGUGGGAGGCUGGGAUGGAAUCCCCGCUCGCCCUGCCUUUGCUCAGACCCCCAGAGGGGCCCCCUGGGCCACGCAGAGGCCCCCGCGUCCCCAGGGCUCGAGAGCGCCCCUCCGCCGUGCCCCAACCCGUGCCGCAGUGGUGGCCCCAAAUGGUCGGUUCUCCCCAGGCCACCCCAGGCGGCGGCCCCAGCCAUUCCCACUGUCUGCAUUAUCCUUCCCCUCGUUCUGCUGGACACUUAGGGUCAGUCUCUAGGACCGCCCCCCCCAGCGCCCUCUCCUCCCAGCAGCCCUCCUCCAGGUUUCCUCUCUGCUCCCGACUCGAGGAAGCCUCUCGACAAGUACAAGUC